rnacentral:misc_RNA from 1 species
AACACUGUUAACCUGCGGUACCUGCGGAGGGAUCAUUACAGAGUUCAUGCCCUCACGGGUAGAUCUCCCACCCUUGAAUACUAUACCUUUGUUGCUUUGGCGGGCCGCUUUGGCUACUGGCUCUGGCUAGUAAGUGCCCGCCAAAGAACCCCAAAACUCUGAAUAUUAGUGUCGUCUGAGUACUAUAUAAUAGUUAAAACUUUCAACAAUGGAUCU